AGGGGGGUCGAGGAGAAGGAAAUCCUGAAAAACUGCUUCCCACAAGCAUAAAGCGGGGACGAGUUAAGACCCCAGCGUUGUCUGCCCCUUUUGAGGGAAGAAGCCAAUUCACCCCGGUGACAACAGCUACGGGUACCCAGAUCCAAGCCUCUAUACCAGCCCGUCUUCCGCCCCUGACUUGCCCUCCCCUUCCUCCAGUCUCACCUCAACCCUCCCCACCCUUCCCGAAGGGGCUCCGUACCUGAUGCUCCUCGAGCUCCUGCACUAGCACCUGAGCAAAAGGGAAACACAGAUAUGACGAGCAGCUCGGGCCAUCAACCCAUUCCUCCCUCCACACUUAAAGCCCAGCCGCUGACCGUUUGACUAGUCAAGGCCGGCCUUUCCCUCACCCUCAACGGAACUGCUCGUCCCGCUGCCUCGAUUUCCCCACUGGGACCAUUCACCACGACUCCCAGAUCUCUUUCUUCCCCUUACCUGAGCGGAUUUGUUGCAGGGUCCAGACUGCAAGAACCUAGCGAUCAGCAUUAUUUACAGUAGCCAAGAUAUGGAAUCAACCCAACUGUCCAUCAACAGAUAAAUGAAUAAGGAAAAUAUGGUAUAUACACAGUGGAAUACUAUUCAUUCAUUGAAAAGAAGGAAAUCUUGCCAUUUGCAUCAACAUGGAUGAACCUGGAGGAUAUUAAAUUAAACAAGCCAGGCACAGGAAGACAAAUACUACAUGCCUUCACUCAUAGAUGUGCAGUCAAGUAGAAUGAAGACUGCUGAGGUGAAAAACAGACACACAAAAGCCUAAAUAGCCGAGAGUCCUCAGUUCACUGGAGGCUCCAGAUAUCUUCACAAUUGUAAAGAAAAAAACAAAAAAUUUGAAAAAUACCAGAAGGAAAAAUAAGUGCAAACCAAAACACGGAAUGACAAAGGAAGCCACCUGAAGAUGCCUUCAUCAUCUGAACAUUUCUCAGUUGCUAUUUUACUUUUUAAAAGUAGUCUGUUAUUUAAGAGUCAAUUGCAUUUAUCUGUGCCUCAUCUCCCCUAUUUAUUAUGUGUCUCCUCAAGGCAUUGGACAAUGUUAACCACAUUCCUUUUAACUCCCCAGAACAUUGAGUCUUAUGCAUCAAGUGAGAGUAAUUUAUAAGCCCUUCGUUAUGUUUUCCCGGAAACUAGAUGAAAGUGUUUUAAGUAAGGAGAAAUCACUUAAAAUGGUAAGCUUGUCUAUUUCUCUGCAUGGUUGAGGAACUCCAGCUGCUCCAGGCUGCAGUUUGUGUCCUGCCAUCCCUGCAAAACUUCUGCCUGAUAUCUGCCUUCACCACCACCCAACCCAAAGCAACUCUGAUUCUGGGAAGCUGAGCUCUCUUUUUUCAGUGCAAUUUAUCUCUCCCUGUGCCCUGGGAGAGGCCAGACAACAGUCCUGAGAGACGCUGCCAGCAAGUUGUUUAUGCCAGGAGGGUGUUGCCCUACCUGUGGCCUCACUGCAGAGCCCUCUAUGGAGAGGGGAUGUAUCUGAUUCUGAUGUUCUUUUACAAAUCAAAUUUCUACUUUUUAAUUUUUGUACCUCUUCUCAGACUCUGCAUUGUAUGAUAGAAUAUUUAUUUUAUUAUUAAAAAUGGUGAAUUAGCUAGCACAUUGCUUUUUCUAUCUUAAUAACGACUAUCUUAAUUCUGUAAAAUUAUAAUGUAAGUCUUGAAUAAAGUAGUCAUUGCAGUAUUUUAUAAUCCUAGUCAUGUACCAGAGCUUUCUCAAGGGGAAAAGUAUUAUAGUUAUCUCUUUAAUAUUUGCUUGUGUGAAACAGUUAUUAACACCGUUUAUAGCUAACCCUGUCUAUAGUGGCCGUUUUGAGAACCCUAAAUCUCUAAUUUAAAGGCCCAAGAUUUUAUCAGUUUGUAUGGAACCUGUGUUUGCUCCUCAGUCCUGGUUUCCUAAUAAACUUAUGAAGAUAUUUGCAAUGGA